GCCAGUGUGGCAUAGUGGUUUGAGUGUUGGGCUAUGACUCUGGAGACCAGGGUUCGAGUUCCAGCUCAGCCA